rnacentral:rRNA from 1 species
UACGUAGGGUGCAAGCGUUAAUCGGAAUUACUGGGCGUAAAGCGUGCGCAGGCGGUUAUGCAAGACAGAUGUGAAAUCCCCGGGCUUAACCUGGGAACUGCAUUUGUGACUGCAUAGCUGGAGUACGGCAGAGGGGGAUGGAAUUCCGCGUGUAGCAGUGAAAUGUGUAGAGAUGUGGAGGAACACCGAUGGCGAAGGCAGCCCCCUGGGCUAACACUGACGCUCAGGCACGAAAGCGUGGGGAGCAAACAGG